rnacentral:rRNA from 1 species
UACAGAGGGUGCGAGCGUUGUUCGGAAUUACUGGGCGUAAAGCGCGCGCAGGCGGCCCUUUAAGUCUACCCGUGAAAUGCCGGAGCUCAACUCCGUGCACGCCGGGGGAUACUGGAGGGCUGGAGACAGGUAGAGGCAGGCGGAAUUCCUGGUGUAGCGGUGAAAUGCGCAGAUAUCGGGAGGAACACCAGUGGCGAAGGCGGCGAUCUGGGAAGAUACUGACGCUGAGGUGCGAAAGCGUGGGGAGCAAACAGG